rnacentral:misc_RNA from 1 species
GAUGAAGAACGCAGCGAAAUGCGAUAAGUAAUGUGAAUUGCAGAAUUCAGUGAAUCAUCGAAUCUUUGAACGCACAUUGCGCCCGCUAGUAUUCUGGCGGGCAUGCCUGUUCGAGCGUCAUUUCAACCAUCAAGCCCCAGGCUUGUGUUGGGGACCUGCGGCUGCCGCAGGCCCCGAAAACCAGUGGCGGGCUCGCUGUCACACCGGGCGUAGUAGAUUUUAUCUCGCUCAGGGCGUGCUGCGGGUUCCGGCCGUUAAAAAGCCUUUUUUACCCAAGGUUGACCUCGGAUCAGGUAGGAAGACCCGCUGAACUUAAGCAUAUCAAUAAGCGGAGGA